GAUGAAGAACGCAGCGAAAUGCGAUAAGUAAUGUGAAUUGCAGAAUUCAGUGAAUCAUCGAAUCUUUGAACGCACAUUGCGCUCUUUGGUAUUCCGGAGAGCAUGCCUGUUUGAGAAUCAGUAAAUUCAUCAACCCAAGGACUUUGGAAUUUAUUCCUCGGUCUGGAAGUUGGAUAUGGGCGUUUUGCUGCCUCUGGCAGCAAUAGCCUGAAAUUUAAUGUUACGCUCCUUUGGACUGAGAAGUCUCGGGCAAACGCAUGAAUGAGGCAACUCACAAAUACGUCAGCUCUUGAGAUUUAUCAAUUCUUGGUGGGGUGACUCAACUGAUUAACCAGGGUUUGUUGGUGUCAACCAGCUUAUUCUGAACACUUGGUCUCAAAUCAGGUAGGAAAACCCGCUGAACUUAAGCAUAUCAAUAAGCGGGAGGA
rnacentral:misc_RNA from 1 species